GGCGGACGGGUGAGUAACACGUGGGAAUCUGCCUACUGGUGGGGAAUAACCUUUGGAAACGAAGGCUAAUACCGCAUAAGCCCUGAGGGGGAAAGAUUUAUUGCCAGUAGAUGAGCCCGCGUUAGAUUAGCUUGUUGGUGAGGUAAAGGCUCACCAAGGCUACGAUCUAUAGCUGGUCUGAGAGGAUGAUCAGCCACACUGGGACUGAGACACGGCCCAGACUCC
rnacentral:rRNA from 1 species